rnacentral:rRNA from 1 species
UGGGGAAUAUUGCACAAUGGGCGCAAGCCUGAUGCAGCCAUGCCGCGUGUAUGAAGAAGGCCUUCGGGUUGUAAAGUACUUUCAGCGGGGAGGAAGGGAGUAAAGUUAAUACCUUUACUCAUUGACGUUACCCGCAGAAGAAGCACCGGCUAACUCCGUGCCAGCAGCCGCGGUAAUACGGAGGGUGCAAGCGUUAAUCGGAAUUACUGGGCGUAAAGCGCACGCAGGCGGUUUGUUAAGUCAGAUGUGAAAUCCCCGGGCUCAACCUGGGAACUGCAUCUGAUACUGGCAAGCUUUAGUCUCGUAGAGGGGGGUAGAAUUCCAGGUGUAGCGGUGAAAUGCGUAGAGAUCUGGAGGAAUACCGGUGGCGAAGGCGGCCCCCUGGACGAAGACUGACGCUCAGGUGCGAAAGCGUGGGGAGCAAACAGG